GAUGAACGCUGGCGGCGUGCCUAAUACAUGCAAGUCGAGCGAAGCGGGGACGGGUGAGUAACACGUGGAUAACCUCCUAUAAGACUGGGAUAACAUCGGGAAACCGGUGCUAAACCCGACACUUAUAGCUUGAUCCUCGUUGCAUUAGCUAGUUGGUAAGGUAACGGCUGACCAAGGCAACGAUUCAUAGCCGACCUUAGAGGGUGAUCGGCCACACUGGAACUGAGACACGGUCCAGACUCCUACGGGAGGCAGCAGUAGGGAAUCUUCCGCAAUGGGCGAAAGCCUGACGGAGCAACGCCGCGUGAGUGAUGAAGGUCUUCGGAUCGUAAACCUCUGUGAUUAGGGAAGCGGUACCUAAUCAGAAAGCCACGGCUAACUACGUGCCAGCAGCCGCGGUAAUUC
rnacentral:rRNA from 1 species